GAUCCUGUGUCCUAGUGGUUAGAGCGUCUGCCUUGGAUGCGGUAGGUCCUGGGUUCGAUCCCCGGCCAAGUCA